CCUACGGGGGGCAGCAGUAGGGAAUCUUCCACAAUGGACGAAAGUCUGAUGGAGCAACGCCGCGUGAGUGAAGAAGGGUUUCGGCUCGUAAAGCUCUGUUGGUAGUGAAGAAAGAUAGAGGUAGUAACUGGCCUUUAUUUGACGGUAAUUACUUAGAAAGUCACGGCUAACUACGUGCCAGCAGCCGCGGUAAUACGUAGGUGGCAAGCGUUAUCCGGAUUUAUUGGGUUUAAAGGGUGCGUAGGCGGAAUGCCAAGUCAGCGGUAAAAUCGCGGGGCUAAACCUCGCUCCGCCGUUGAAACUGGCGUUCUUGAGUGGGCGAGAAGUAUGCGGAAUGCGUGGUGUAGCGGUGAAAUGCUUAGAUAUCACGAAGAACUCCGAUUGCGAAGGCAGCCUACUAAACUGCCACUGACAUUGAUGCUCGAAAGUGUGGGUAUCAAACAGGAUUAGAUACCCGAGUAGUC
rnacentral:rRNA from 1 species